AUGAAGAAGGCGUCGAGGUUCCUGAAGCAGCUGUUCUCGGCCAUCGUGGCGGCGGUGAGGGAGAGGUCCGCGGCGACGCGCGCCAGGACAAGCGCCGCGCGGACGCGGUUCGUCUUCUUCGGCAUCCUCCGCAACAAGCAGCUCCUGAGGAACGCCAUCAACAGCAAGAUCCACGCGAUCGUGGGAGGCGGCAGCGGCAACGGCCAGCACCUUGUUGCGGCCAGCGGCGGAGGUAGGACGGUCGCCGUGCUGGAGAAGCUGCCGAGCUUCGUCGCGGAUCAGGGGAGGAGGGCCGCCGUGCUGCUCAACAGCCUGCCGAGCUUCGCCAUGGGCCGGGACGGCGGCAGCGACUCGCCGCUCGUCGGCGGCGGCGGGGAGGAGAAAGAGGAGGGCGACGAGGGCGUGCCGAAGCAGCUGCAGCUGGCGAACGCGGCGCCGGGGUCCGUGAUCGAGCUGGCCCGUGGCGCGGCGGAGCGGGGCGGCGUGGAGUUCAAGCUGGAGGACGAGAUAGACCACGUCGCCGACGUGUUCAUCAGGAGGUUCCACGACCAGAUGAAGCUGCAGAAGCUCGAGUCGUUCAAGAGGUUCUGCGAGAUGCUCGAGAGAAACUAA
rnacentral:rRNA from 1 species